GCGGCCCUGGAUCUCUUUUCUUUUUUAAUGAAACCCCACUGUUUCAUUUCUCUCCUCACUGUGUUUUUGCUGAUCUGUACAAAUGAAAUUAGUCAAAGGAAACAGGAGUUGUUGAUUUUACCCAACCUUCUAAAGUAUAUGAGAACGUGAAGCAGGUAGCAUCUUCAUCUUUCUUCCCCAUUUGGCAAACAUCAAACUUUUUUUUUUCUUUUCUCUGAUGGGCCCUUCUAUCUCCUCUGCAAAUAUUCGAGACCCAAAUCUUCAUCUUUGCCUUGUUUCUUUUUUCAGUUUAGGCAACUUCAUUUGGUAUGAGAAGUGAGGUUUAUGUUCCUGCAAUAAAAGUUGACACAGUGACUGCAUUAUCUCUGUGAGAAAGCAAGCAUGGAUGUGCCAUCUUCAGAUGCAUCUCAAAUAGCUAACAACCUCUUAAACUUGGGCCAGAACUGCAACAGAGAAGAUAUUUCAACCGGAGACUGGCAAAGGGACAAGAUGUUGGAGAAGAUCGAGUUCGAGUGCACAGCCUAGUUCUUCCAGAGCAUCCUUCCAGCACCAAUGUCUACUUCUGGAGGGAUAAGUUAUAGAUCGUGUUUCUGUUCUUAUCUAACUAACAUUAGGAAAGUUGCGAGAGACUCGUAAAUUUAAUCUUUUCUACUCAUUCUACAACCAGAGUGGUGGUUGGGAGGGAGUCUCACAUUGACUAAUUAAGAGGAUGAUCAUGAGUUUAUAACUAAGGAAUACAUCUCUAUUGGUAAGCAAAGCCAUGAAAGCUUGUGCUCAAAGUGGACAAUAUCAUACCAGAGUUGUAGGUUUUGGCUUGCACCACAGGUUUACACUCUCAAACAUGAUGUUACAAACGUGCAAUGUCUAAUACCAGGCUUGUUAUUGGCAAUUAGAAAGGUGGUGCGUCUUAAGGUACCUAAACACGCGUCAGGAUAUGCACCUCGAAUUUUCUUGAAUGAUCUUCUUUAUCCUGUAUUGUGUCAAACUAUCGCCUUUCUGUGCUACUUUGGCAGAAUCUGGUAUACGGCUGGGAGAAUUUUUUAUAAGGCUUCGAAGGCUCUCUCCUUGUAGCUCAAUCUGAAACUUCAUCUCCGUUGUUCAUUGGACAGAGUGAACUUUCGACCUGAUAACAAAAAGAAGAGUCAGGAGCUCAAGUUAGAGAGAAUUGAAAGAUAACUUUUGUUUUUCAUUUUCCUUGUGUACAUGGAGAAAUUAAAUUAUAGUUCUUAAAGAAGGGUACCUCUAAAAAGGGUCACUGUGAUACUUGUAUGACCUCAUUUGUUCUUCA